UACGUAGGUGGCAAGCGUUAUCCGGAAUUACUGGGCGUAAAGCGCACGCAGGCGGUCUGUUAAGUUUGACGUGAAAGCUCCCGGCUUAACUGGGAGAGGUCGUUGAAGACUGGCAGACUUGAGGCGAUGAGAGGGGUGUAGAAUUCCCGGUGUAGUGGUGGAAUGCGUAGAUAUCGGGGGGAAUACCAGUGGCGAAAGCGGCACCCUAGCGUUAGCCUGACGCUCAUGUGCGAAAGCGUGGGGAGCGAACGGG
rnacentral:rRNA from 2 species